rnacentral:misc_RNA from 1 species
UCCGGUUUGGCACCGGCAGUCUCCCUAGAGUUCCCGGCUUUACCCGCUGGCAACUAGGAACAGGGGUUGCGCUCGUUGCGCCACUUAAGGCAACACCUCACGGCACGAGCUGACGACAGCCGUGCAGCACCUGUGCGGGCUCCCGUAGGAGGACCGUGUUUCCACGGCUUCACCCCGCAUGUCAAGCCCUGGUAAGGUUCUUCGCGUUGCGUCGAAUUAAGCCACAUGCUCCGCCGCUUGUGCGGGCCCCCGUCAAUUCCUUUGAGUCUUAGCCUUGCGGCCGUACUCCCCAGGCGGGGUGCUUAAUGCGUUAGCUUCGGCACGGAUGGGGUCGAUGUCCACCCACACCUAGCACCCAACGUUUACGGCUAGGACUAC